rnacentral:rRNA from 1 species
GGUUUGAUCCUGGCUCAGAUUGAACGCUGGCGGCAUGCCUUACACAUGCAAGUCGAACGGCAGCGCGGGAGCAAUCCUGGCGGCGAGUGGCGAACGGGUGAGUAAUACAUCGGAACGUGCCCAAUCGUGGGGGAUAACGCAGCGAAAGCUGUGCUAAUACCGCAUAAGAUCUACGGAUGAAAGCAGGGGAUCGCAAGACCUUGCGCGAAUGGAGCGGCCGAUGGCAGAUUAGGUAGUUGGUGAGGUAAAGGCUCACCAAGCCUUCGAUCUGUAGCUGGUCUGAGAGGACGACCAGCCACACUGGGACUGAGACACGGCCCAGACUCCUACGGGAGGCAGCAGUGGGGAAUUA